rnacentral:tRNA from 1 species
GGAGAGAUGGCUCAGUGGUUAAGAGCACUGACUGCUCUUCCAGAGCACCUGAGUUCAAUUCUCAGUGCCUCCC